GAAAUUACAUACAAGAUUGCAAUAUGAGAGAGUAAAAAAGAGAUGCGAAUAUAGCCAAAACAAUAGGUGAGGGGAAUUGUUGCGCGGAAGCGUGUAAAAGAGUAAAAUUAUUGUACUAAAAAAUCAUACUAAGUUCAAUUCCCAGGAAAGAGGGGUGGAUCACGAGGAUCGCUUAAGUACCAGAUCUUUCCUAGCCAGAAUAUCCCUCUAUCGUAAUUUAAUAGCACAAUAAAUCACUACAAUCACACUCACAAAAUAUGCAAAAUAAACAAUAAAGAACACAACAAUUUAACGAGGUUCAGCAAAUUUUGCCUACGUCCUCGGGCACUAUCAAAUAUAUUUCACUCUAAAAUACAAGUGAAAGUUUACAAAUAGGGAGAGAGAACAAUUGCCUUAAGUAGAGAAUGGAAAGUGUGGGAUGUUUGAAAUGAGAAAUAAUUAGGCCUAUUUAUAGUUGAAGCUCAAGGAUCAACUUGCAAAGUCCCUAUACAAUUAGGGACCAAAAAUUGCAAUUAUUCCAUGCCAAAUUUCAAACCAAAUUAUUAGUGCCUUAAUUUGUAGGAUUUUUGGUGCCCACCAAUAUCUUUGACUUUUCAAAGAUGGAUGGCUUAGGAUAAUCUCCACCUUGAAGAUUCUAUUAGGAUAAUCUUAUCUUCACACAAUUCUUUCUGCCUUUGACAACAAUACUUGAUAGCGCCUUCUUCAACUGUUAAACUUGCAGAAUAUUGAUCAAGUUCAAACAAUGUUCGAACUUGAUUGUUGUUACCACCUUGGUCAUCAUAUCUGCGGGAUUAUCUGCAGUCUUAAUCUUCUGAAGAUGAAUUUUCCCCUCAUUAAUAAUUUCCCGCACAAAAUGGAAUCGUACGUCGAAAUGCUUUGUACGUGCAUGAUAGACUUGAUUCUUUGCUAAAUGAAUAGCACUUUGAAUAUCACAAUACACAUUAAUAUGCUCCUGAACCAAUCCCAAGGUUUUAACCACACCUUGUAACCAAAUAGCUUCCUUUACAGCCUCUGUUACAGCCAUGUAUUCGGCUUCUGUAGUUGACAACGCAACUGUAGACUGUAGUGUAGACUUCCAACUUAUUGGUCCUCCAGCAAGUGUAAACACAUAACCGGUGGUUGAUCUUCGUUUGUCCAAAUCACCGGCAUAGUCAGAAUCAACGUACCCAAUAACACCUUUACCAAGUGUAGUAUCCUGCUUGAACAGUAAUCCAACAUCCACGGUCUUCAAAAUAUACCGUAGAAUCCAUUUCACAGCUUGCCAAUGUCCUUUUCCAGGAUUAUACAUAUACCUGCUCACUAUACUAACUGCCUGUGAAAUGUCGGGUCUUGUACACACCAUUGCAUACAUCAAGCUACCUACUGCAUUAGCAUACGGAACUUGUAACAUGUGUUCUUGUUCCGUAUUCGUCGAAGGAGAUAGUUGUGCAGAAAGCUUAAAAUGAGAAGCCAACGGGGUACUUACAGAUUUGGUCUGCUCGUUCAUGCCAAACUGCUGUAGUACUUUCUUCAAAUACUGCUUCUGAGACAAGCUAACUCUGUCAUGAGCUCUAUCUCUACAUAUUUCCAUGCCAAGAAUCUUCUUAGCUUCACCUAGAUCUUUCAUUUCAAACUCGAGAUUGAGUUGAGUCUUCAAUCUUUCAAUCUCAACUUUGCUCUUAGAUGCUAUCAGCAUAUCAUCAACAUAUAAGAGCAAGUAUAUGAAAGUUCCUACUUGUAGCUUCUGAAAAUACACGCAAUGAUCAAAUUUACUUCUUGUGUACCUUUGCCCUUUCAUGAACUGAUCAAAUCGCUUGUACCACUGCCUCGGAGAUUGUUUCAAUCCAUAAAGCGACUUCGUCAGUUUGCAAACCCAAUUUUCUUUAUCAGCAACCUUGAAUCCAUCAGGCCGAGUUAUAUAGAUUUCCUCUUCCAAAUCACCGUGUAAAAAAGUUGUCUUCACAUCAAGCUGAACUAGUUCAAGGUCAUAUUGCGCAACCAAGGCUAGCAAAAUUCGAAUAGAUGAAUGCUUCACAACUGGAGAAAACACUUCAUUGUAGUCUAUUCCUUCUUUCUGAGCGUAACCCUUUGCUACCAAUCUAGCCUUGUAUCGAAUUUCAUUUUUACCAGGAAAUUCUUCCUUCUUUGCAUAUACCCAUUUGCAUCCAAUUGCCUUCUUUCCCUUGGGCAGUGUCACCAACUCCCAAGUCUUAUUUUUAUGAAGAGACUGCAUUUCUUCAUUCAUAGCUUGCUUCCACUUUACACCAUCAGGGUUACUUAUUGCUUCUGUGUAAGUAGAAGGAACAUCAUCAUCUGUAAUUGGAAGUGCAUAGGCCACCAUAUCAUCAAAGCGAGCAGGCUUACGCAUCUCUCUUCUUGGCCUCCUAUUUGCAAUUGAAUAUUGUUGCUAUAGAAGUUCUUGGGUUGAAACUUCUUCAUCAUUUGUUUCUUCAAUAUUAGCUGGAUCAUCAUUAACCUUUUCAAGCUCCACCUGCUGCAAAGUACCACUGGUUUUGUCAUCCUUUUGUGAAUCUUUGUUCUUCAUCAUGGUUGAUUCAUCAAAAGUCACAUCUCUACUGAAAACAAUCUUCCUUGUAUCAGGACACCAGAGACGGUAUCCUUUUACUCCACCAGUUAUACCCAUGAAUAAUGCUUUCUUUGCUCUUGGGUCUAACUUAGAUUCUUUUACAUGAUAAUAUGCAGUGGAACCAAAAACAUGUAAAGAAUCAUAAUCAGUAGCAGGUUUACCAGUCCACAUCUCUAUAGGAUUUUUUUCCAUUUAUUGCAGCUGAUGGCAACCGGUUAAUUAGAUGGCAUGCAUAUGUAACUGCCUCAGCCUAAAAUUCAUUGCCCAACCCAGCAUUGGACAACAUACAUCGAACUUUCUCCAGUAUAGUCCGAUUCAUACAUUCUGCCACCCCAUUCUGCUGUGGUGUAUCUCGAACAGUGAAGUGUCGCACAAUGCCCUCAUCUUGACAUACUUGAAGAAAUGGAUCAUUUUUGUACUCAGUACCAUUAUCUGAUCGAAGUCGUUUGACCUUUCGACCAGUCUGAGUCUCCACCAUCUUCUUCCACUUCAGAAAUGCAUCCAAAACUUCAUUUUUUCUUUUCAUUAGAUACACCCAUACUUUUCUUGAAUAAUCAUCAACAAAAGUAACAAAAUAGUGCAUACCUCCCAAAGAAGUCACUUUGGUAGGUCCUCAUACGUCACUGUGAACGUAGUCCAGAAUUCCUUUCGUAUUGUGAAUUGCAGAACCAAAUUUUACCCUCGUCUGCUUGCCCAGAACACAAUGUUCACAGAAUUCCAAUUUGCAAGAAUUUACACCUUUCAUCAAGCCUUGCUUCGCCAAAGUCUGCAAAGCUUUUUCACCAGCAUGUCCUAAUCGCAUAUGCCAUAACCUGGUAGCCUCUGAAUUUGCAUCUUUCACAGAAACUGUUGAUGUUGAUCCAAUAACUAUACUUCCAUUUAAAUAGUACAAGUUAUUUCUUCUAGUGCCUUUCAUCACCGUCAAUACCCCAGCUACUACCUUUAGUAAUCCAUCUCUCAAAGUGACUGUGAGCCCUUUAGAUUCUAAGGCCCUAAUGAGAUGAGAUUUUUCUUCAAGCUAGGUACAUAGCGAACAUCUGUCAGGACUUGGAUUGAGUCAUCGUGAUUCUUCAAUUUGAUUGUACCUACUCCCAUUGUCUUACAGGCACUAUCAUUGCCCAUAAAAAUAACCCCACCUUCUAGUUCUUCAAGACUAGAAAACCAGUCCUUAUUAGGACACAUAUGGUAAGUACAUCCCGAAUCCAAGAUCCACUCAUCCGUGUGACAUGUCAUUGCCAUGCCAACCAAGCUAAAGUCUGACUCCUCAUCAUGCUCCGCUACACAUGCAUUAGAAAUAGUCUUGCCCUUUUGUAACUUAGGACAAUUCUUUUUCCAAUGCCCUUUCUCACGACAAAAAGCACAUUCAUCUUUGGCGGGUCUCCCUUUGGACUUACCCCUUCUACCAGGUUUGUUGCUAUGUGAACGACCUCUUACUGUUAAGACUUCUGUAGUUGUAUCUCUGUGAUCUCUUUUAUCUUUCUUUCGAGUCUCAGAUCUAUACAAUUGUAAUGACCCAAAAUUCACGGGCAUUGGAAAAGUAUAAUAUCGGGCCUCCGUCUUAGUAAAUUAAGUUCAAAAAUAAUUAUUAGAAAUAUUUACUAGACUAGUUGUGUGUUUAAUUAGGAUUUAGAAAGGUGAAUUUAGCCUAGUUAAGAGUAAAUAGCAAAAAGGAUUAAAUUGCAAUAGAAGUGAAAGUUUAAUUAUAGAUUAAAGAAAAUAGUAGGGACUAAAUAGGCAAUUAUGCCAAUUACCAAAGUUGAGGCGGCAUAAGUAUAAAAAUCUGAGAUUUUUAUGUGUUAAAAAAAUAUUAUUAUAUUAUAUUAUAUUAUUAUAACAAAAAGUAAAAGAAAAACAAAUAAAAAUAAAAGAAAGAAACAAAGGAAGAAAAGAAACAGAAUAGAAGAGACGAAACAGAGAAGAAACAGGGGAGAAAGAAAGAAAAAAAGGGAAAACUAGGGAUUUGAAGCUUGAAGUUCAAUAGGUAAGUUAAAUCAAGUCAUAUUCUCAUAAAUUUGAUGUUAUUGGAAUCCUAGAGUGAAAUACUCUUGGAUUUAAGUUGAAAAUUUGAAAGUUAAUAGAUUUUUUAGUAGGAUUUAUGUUGAAUAAAUGAUGGAAUUGAAGGUUUAUUUGAUAGAGUUUCUAGCUAGAUUUGCUAAAAGGAUUAAAUUGUGAACUAAACUAUAAGUUUUGAAUUGUAGGGAUUAAAUUGAGGAAAAUUCGAAAUUAGUGAAAUAUGGUGAAAAAUUUAUAGUUAAAUUUGAGUUUGGAUGAAAUUUAAAUAGAAAUAGAGUGUGAAUUGAAUUAGGAAAGUAAGUGAAUUUAGUUAGGAUUAAAUUAAGAAUAAGAAAGAAAUUGAAUAGAAAUUCAAUUAUUUGUCAUAAUUAGUGCUGUAAUUAAUAGUAUAAAUUAUUAUUAUUUUCAUAGCUAACAAAGAGCCCAAGGCAUCGGCACGAAAAGGAAAAGAGAAGAUUAUCGAGGAGUAAACGCAAGAAAAUCACGGUUUGUAUUACUAUAAUUCAAGUUAUUUAUUAUUAAAUGUUAGAUUUUAAUUUAUGAAGUUGGUAAAUGGAAUGUGAGGUAAGUAGUAUUAUUAUUAUUAUUAUUAUUAUUAUUAUUAUUAUUAUUAUUAUUAUUAUUAUUAUUAUUAUUAUUAUUAUUAUUAUUAGUGUGAAUUAAAUUGAAUAAUUGAUAUGAAUUAAUAUUUGAAUUGCUUGUUUAUUGAAAGCGGAAAGUGAAAUUGAAUCGAAUUCUGACUGAUAUUAAAUUGAAUGGAAAUGUAUUGAGUUGUGAAAAUGUGUGAAUUUGUAAAUUAAUUAUCGAAUGAAAGGUGGAAAAAUGAUUGAAUUGAAAAUGAGAGAAAUUGUGAUUUAAAUACCCUAUUAACUAGUCGGGCUGAGUCGGAUAUAAUUGACAUGCCAUAGGAUUUGGAAGAGUACGGGGUUUAUCGGCUUUGCCGACCAGGCACUUUAUGUGUCGUAUCUCAGGCACUUUAUGUGUCGUAUCAGGCACCUCGUGUGUCGUUUCAGGCACUUAUGUGUCGUAUACUGAUCUGGUACUAUGUACCGUUUUAGGCACAAUGUGUCGUACUGGUGUGUUUGGGUUGGAAUCCGUGUAUCCGUCAAUGUCCAAAUUGUUAAUAGGGUGAAUAAUUAAAAUGCAAAAAUUUAAAAAUUGUGGAUUGAUGUUGAGAUUGAAAAUGAAAGGCAUGACUUUAAUGUCUAUGUAGUGAUUGAAAUUAUUACGUGUGAUAUGUGAUUGAAAUUGAAUAACAGCUAAAAAUUGUAUUGUUAUUGUUAAUUAAUGAAAGUUUAUAAAUUAAUUGAUAUUUAAGAAAUCGAAUAGUUACAUGCUUGGUACUUAUAAUUCUUUAUUUCUAUUAUAAUUUGAAUUAUGGUAAUACCACUGAGUAUGCAAUACUCAGCGUACGGUUGUUUCCGUGCGCAGGUCGAUAGAAGCCAAAGGUCCCGGUUCAGCAUCCAGAUCAAUCCCGACUUCAGCAUAAUUUUGGUGAUGUAUAUUUUCUUUUGGUAAUGUGGCAUGUACAUAUGUUGUGUAUAAAAGUUUAGGUGAUAAAUUAUACAUGGAAAUCAUGAAAGGGUAAAAUUUUACAAAGAAACAGAAUUCAGGCAGCACAGUGACGUGACUUUGAAAAAUCACCUAGGAUAGUAUAUAAUGAUUUAUAAGGCGAAUGAUAUAUGGAAUGAAAGCUUGUUGAGUCUAUUUUCAUGGAAAAAUGACGUUUUAGAGAAAGGAAAUUUAUAUUUUAAGAUAUGUGAAUUUUAGUGAGACAGGGUCAAAACUGUUUUUGGAGUCCCCUGUUAUGAGUUUAGAAAAUCACUGAAAAUUUUACAAAAAUAGUUAUGAAUUUAAAUUUACAUGCUUAGAUUCUUUAAUGAGUCUAUUUUCGGUAGGAACAAGUGGGAACACUAUAUAAAAAUCCUAUAAUGAGAAAUUUUAUUUUUAGUAAUAAGAGGUCAGAACAGUCGAAUGGCGAAACAGGGGAGACUUUAACUAAUAAACUGUACUAAUUAGCUAAACCAAAAAUUCUAAAAAUUUUAUUGUAAGUAGAUAUAUGAGUCUAGUUUCAGGUAAAAUUUACGGAAUUAAAUUUCGAGUCCAGUAGCUCGAGUUAUAAUUAAUUUAGUAACUGCUGAACGAUUGGACAAGUUUGCUUUGAAUAGUGAAACUAAUUUUCAAAGUAAAUUUUUUUAUGUUCCGAAUUAGUAAGAUAAGUUAAGUAAUGAAGUCAAUUGGUAAACAAACUAAUAAAUUUUAUGAUUUAAUUUAAUAUGUUGAUUAUUUAUUUAAGAAUUGUUGUAAAUUGUUUGAUACGUCCGGUAAUGCCUCGUAACCCUGUUCCGGCGACAGUUCGGGGUUAAGGGGUGUUACAACAACGCACUACAGACUGCAUCAAAUGUGAGUGUAUCCUUCCCAUGAAGCAAUGUGGUGGUAAGAUGAUCAUAUUCAUCAGGAAGAGAAUUCAACAACAAUAAUGCCUUGUCUUCAUCUUCAAAUUUCUCAUCCAAAUUUAGCAAGUCUGCUAAAAUUUUAUUGAAUGAGUUCACAUGGUCAUUCAUCGACAUAUCGGGUGCAUACGUGAACCGAAAAAGUUUCUUUUUCAUAUAAAACCUAUUUUCAAGACUUUUCGUUAGAAACUUUUCUUCCAGUGUAUCCCACAACUUCUUCGCUGAUGUCUCCCUCAUGACAGAGUACUUCUGCUCUUUGGCCAAACAUAGGCGGAUUGUACCACAUGCUUGUCUAUUGAUCUUGGCCCACUCCUUGUCAUCCAUCUUAUCAGGUUUUUCUUCAAGGGCUAUAUCCAGCUCUUGCUGACAUAAGACAUCCAGGAUCUCACAUUGCCACAUACCAAAAUUAUUGGUACCAUCAAAUUUCUCUACUUCAAAUUUUGUAUUGAUCACGGUAGUCUUUUUUGAUGACGAUGCCUCUGCCAUUUUUCUCCUCAAUCCCAACUACUGUAUACGUGAACAGUAUCGUCUACGUGAGUGCCGUGGAUGAACAAUACUAUAUACGUAAAUAGUAUCGUAAACGGUUGUAUUCCCCAAGUACGAAUCUAGCUCUGAUACCAAUUGUUACGCGAAAGCGUGUAAAAGAGUAAAAUUAUUGUACUAAAAAAUCACACUAAGUUCAAUUCCCAGGAAAGAGGGGUGGAUCACGAGGAUCGCUUAAGUACCAGAUCUUUCCUAGCCAGAAUAUCCCUUUAUCGUAAUUUAAUGGCACAAUAAAUCACUACAAUCACACUCACAAAAUAUGCAAAAUAAACAAUAAAGAACACAACAAUUUAACGAGGUUCAGCAAAUUUUGCCUACGUCCUCGGGCACUAUCAAAUAUAUUUCACUCUAAAAUACAAGUGAAAGUUUACAAAUAGGGAGAGAGAAUAAUUGCCUUAAGUAGAGAA
rnacentral:lncRNA from 1 species